GUCUACGGCUAUACCUCCCUGAACAAGCUCAAUCCCCCAUCCCCCCUGAUCUCGGAAGCUAAGCAGGGUCAGGUCUGGUUAGUACUUAGACAGGAGACCACCUAAGAAGACCAGGUGCUGUAGGUG
rnacentral:rRNA from 1 species